CCGCAAGGCCUCCUGGGUAACCUACCACCCUUUGUUUAUUACACUUUGUUGCUUUGGCAAGCCUGCCCUCGGGCUGCUGGCUCCGGCCGGCGAGCGCUUGCCAGAGGACCUAAACUCUGUUUGUCUAUACUGUCUGAGUACUAUAUAAUAGUUAAAACUUUCAACAACGGAUCUCUUGGUUCUGGCAUCGAUGAAGAACGCAGCGAAAUGCGAUAAGUAAUGUGAAUUGCAGAAUUCAGUGAAUCAUCGAAUCUUUGAACGCACAUUGCGCCCCCUGGUAUUCCGGGGGGCAUGCCUGUCCGAGCGUCAUUACAACCCUCAAGCUCAGCUUGGUAUUGGGCCCCGCCGACCCGGCGGGCCCUAAAGUCAGUGGCGGUGCCGUCCGGCUCCGAGCGUAGUAAUUCUUCUCGCUCUGGAGGUCCGGUCGUGUGCUCGCCAGCAACCCCCAAUUUUUUUCAGGUUGACCUCGGAUCAGGUAGGGAUACCCGCUGAACUUAA
rnacentral:rRNA from 1 species